rnacentral:SRP_RNA from 1 species
GCCAGGCAUGGCGGUGCGUGCCUGUAAUCCCAGCUACUCAGGAGGCUGAGGCAGGAGAAUCGCUUGAACCCAGGAGGCAGAGGUUGCAGUGAGCAGAGAUCGCAGCACUGCACUCCAGCCUGGGCAACAGAGUGAGACUCUGUCUCAA